AGAAAUAGUAGAGGAGCAGGUUUUAGGAGUUUUUUGAAGACGUGACGUCAGAAGUUGUAUGAAAGGAGUAAUUGCCAGUCGUGUGCUACUGCGUAG
rnacentral:ncRNA from 1 species